rnacentral:rRNA from 1 species
UACAGGGGGUGCAACCGUUGCUCGGAAUCAUUGGGCGUAAAGCGCACGUAGGCGGUUCGUUAUGUCGGAUGUGAAAGCCCUUGGCUUAACCGAGGAAGUGCAUCCGAAACUGGCGAGCUAGAGUACGAAAGAGGAUCGCGGAAUUCCCGGUGUAGAGGUGAAAUUCGUAGAUAUUGGGAAGAACACCGGUGGCGAAGGCGGCAACCUGGUCCUUUACUGACGCUGAGGCGCGAAAGCGUGGGGAGCAAACAGG